UACGUAGGUGGCAAGCGUUGUCCGGAUUUACUGGGCGUAAAGGGCGUGCAGGCGGUCUGUUAAGUCUAGGGUGAAAGCUCCCGGCUCAACUGGGAGAGGUCCUUGGAUACUGGCGGACUUGAGGGAGGCAGAGGAGAGUGGAAUUCCCGGUGUAGUGGUGAUAUGCGUAGAUAUCGGGGAGGAACACCAGUGGCGAAGGCGGCUCUCUGGGGCCUUUACCCUGACGCUGAGACGCGAAAAGCUGGGGGAGCGAACCGG
rnacentral:rRNA from 1 species